rnacentral:rRNA from 1 species
UACGUAGGGUGCGAGCGCUAAUCGGAAUUACUGGGCGUAAAGCGUGCGCAGGCGGUUUUGUAAGCCAGACGUGAAAUCCCCGGGCUUAACCUGGGAAUGGCAUUUGGGACUGCAAGGCUUGAGUUUGGCAGAGGAGACUGGAAUUCCUGGUGUAGCAGUGAAAUGCGUAGAUAUCAGGAGGAAUACCGAUGGCGAAGGCAGGUCUCUGGGCUAGAACUGACGCUCAUGCACGAAAGCGUGGGGAGCAAACAGG